rnacentral:rRNA from 1 species
UACGUAGGGUGCGAGCGUUGCCCGGAUUUAUUGGGCGUAAAGGGCGCGUAGGCGGCCACGCACGUCCGUUGUGAAAUCGCCCGGCUCAACUGGGCGGGGUCGGCGGAUACGGCGUGGCUGGAGCAAGCUAGGGGGCAACGGAAUUCCUGGUGUAGCGGUGAAAUGCGCAGAUAUCAGGAGGAACACCGGUGGCGAAGGCGGUUCUCUGGGCAUUACCUGACGCUGAGGAGCGAAAGUGUGGGGAGCGAACAGG